rnacentral:snRNA from 1 species
AUGCUCACGUCGGCAGCAAAUAUACUAAAAUUGGAGUGAUACAGAGAAGAUUAGUAUGCCCCCUGUGCAAGGAUGACACGCAAAUUUGUGAAGCGUUCCAUAUUUUU